rnacentral:misc_RNA from 1 species
GAAGAGGAAGCGGGGGUUGGACCCUCCCAUGUGAAUGGCUUUGCAUCUGGUCCAUUGGACAAAGAUGGUGAUGCCAAUUAUUUUCCUCUGACACGCCAUAUUGGGAGGCAAAGAGGGUAUAAAAAUGUGAAUGCCUAUCAACUGUCAGAAUCAAUUCAGAAGGGCCAUGAUAAUGGGAAAUUUGAAGCAUGGAAACGGCGGAGAAGAGCUGAAGCUGAUACGCACCCCCAACUUCAACCCCC